rnacentral:rRNA from 2 species
GGGGCAGCAGUAGGGAAUCUUCCGCAAUGGACGAAAGUCUGACGGAGCAACGCCGCGUGAGUGAUGAAGGUUUUCGGAUCGUAAAGCUCUGUUGUUAGGGAAGAACAAGUGCGAGAGUAACUGCUCGCACCUUGACGGUACCUAACCAGAAAGCCACGGCUAACUACGUGCCAGCAGCCGCGGUAAUACGUAGGUGGCAAGCGUUGUCCGGAAUUAUUGGGCGUAAAGGGCUCGCAGGCGGUUUCUUAAGUCUGAUGUGAAAGCCCCCGGCUCAACCGGGGAGGGUCAUUGGAAACUGGGAAACUGAGGCAGAAGAGAGACGAUCCCU